rnacentral:lncRNA from 12 species
CUCUAUCAACAACUUGGGCUCAAACUCGAAAGUGUUUCCUCUUUUCCUACACUUCAGCUACAGAGGUCAUCGGUUAUUGGUCUCGAAGACUUGAAUUCAGGAUAGAUUCAACUUCUAAAAACUCAGUCUAGUUCUGAGCUUGUCCUUGACCCCAGGUUCCAGUGCCCAGCACUUGAAAAGAUCGAGUGCAAUUCAAUUAUGAAGUCGGUCUGACUUUUUGAAGUGUAAAUCCACUGCACUUGAAAAUGGCAAGUGUAAAAUCCAUUCUUAAAAAGCACUUGACAUUUUCACAUACAGCUUUACAGCCACGGAAAUGUGAGGAGGCUCAAAAGCAAUGGCCGAGAAUGGCUUUAAAAAAAAAAAAAAGAAAGAAAGAAAGAAAGAAAAAAAGAUUCUAAUGCUUGGUCAGGAGCAGAAGUCUGAUUUUUAGCUCUUUGUGUUGACUAGAAAAUUAGAACCUCUUUUAAAGGUGUACUUUGUAAAACUCAUGUUGAUGAGCUGAUUUUUCCUAAUGUUUUAACUGCUGGUUUGUAUGCUUAAUAUCACACACCUUUUCCUUCACAAUAACUUUAUAGAAUGUGGAUCUCACUUUAUCCAUCAAAGCGGCAGGAUGAUUUCAUCCGUGGCAAGAUGGUAUAGCUCUUUAUUUCCUCCUCAGACGGCUCUAAUUCUAGCAGAAACGCUCAGAUGUGAAAAUCUGUCAGGACAGCAACAGGUGGGGGACGGAGGACUGAGUCACCUCAUCCUCCAGGGAUUUUACUCUAGCCCUGAUCUCAGUGUGAGGCACCAUGGGGUGAAGCUCACUACCCCCCCCCCAGCCUUCCCCCAUUCCCUGACAAUCCCCAAUUCCCUGUCUUGGUAACCACGAAGAUAACCUAGAGUGGGUAGAAAGUGGUGGGUGACAGGUACAGAGUCCCCCGAAAACACAGAUUACGAGGGCCCACUCCAGUGUUCCCGAUUCAGUAGGUCUGUGGAAGGGCCCGAGAAUCUGCAUUUCCUUCCUCCCACCCCCCCCAGGCUUUACUAAGAUAUAAUUGACAUAUAACACUGUGCUAGUUGUGAUGAUUGGAUGUACGUGUGUAGUGCGAAAUAGGGGCGCCUGGGUGGCUCAGUGGUUGAGCAUCUGCCUUUGGCUUGGGUCAUGAUCCUGGGGUCCUGGGAUCGAGUCCUGCAUCCCAGGACUGCAUCCCCUGCAGGGAGCCUGCUUCUCCCUCUGCCUAUGUAUCUGCCUCUUCUCUCUCUGUGUCUCUCAUGAAUAAAUGAAAUCUUAAUAAAUGAAUGAAUGAAUGA